rnacentral:tRNA from 1 species
UCCCUGGUGGCUCAGACGGUAAAGCGUCUGCCUGCAAUGCGGGAGACCCAGGUUCAAUCCCUGGUUUGGGAA